UAGCCAGUUGCGAGAGAUGAGCACACACAAUCUCCCUAAAUGGGUUUCAUUUAAAGGUAAAGCAAGGAGUUUGAGAUGAGGAGUUCUAGUCCUGCAAUAGGCAGGAAAGCCAAAGACUGAGAAAUCCCAGCAAUUGCCCACAACCACAAAGGAGUGAAUGAUGGAUGUUCCACAUCAGGGACGGAGAAGCAAGCAGCUCCCAGAGGAGGAAAAGGGAGUGCGCCUCCAGCCAAAGGGUCCUGCUUUUGCUAUGAAAAGGAGGGGCACUGAGCUGCCAAGUGUCUUGCACCAAAAUUGAUGAUGGCUCCCCAGCCUCCGAGCCAACCAAAGAAGAAAAUAUUUCCACUGAAAUCAAGUAAGAGAACUCAUGCAGGGCAACAAGUUGUAGAGUUCUCCCCUCCAUCCAUGAGGGGGAGGGAACUCCGACCUUUGCCAAGAUGGGAUCAGUCUUCUAUAAGGGUAACCAUGAAGGAGAAGAUGACCUGAUGUUGUUCUGGACAGCAGGAAGUAACACCAUCACAGCUGACCGAAGACCUAACACAACCCUAAAAGAAGCCAGAAAUGAGUGGUUCCAACAACACAAAGGCAAGUUGUCCUUAAGAGAUGGACUGGCAUUGAUGGGGAGUAAAUUAUAUAUCCCGUUGAGCCCCAGGAACUUAAUAUUGCAGCUAAA